GUGUCUCAAUUCAGGGUCUGCAUCCUACCUCGGCCGGAUUCGUCGGCCGGUUACGUCACAGCGCCGCGACUCGGCCUGUCCCAAUUCGAAGACUCCUUCAAAUGCGGUCGACGAAUGCGGCCUUCUUUUCGCCUGAAUGAAGGAUGGGUCGGGUGUAUCCUUCAAUAGGUAGCAUUUCCCAAGAUGCCUUGCGGGCCGGCCGGCAGAAAAACUUAAAAACAAUGGCGGACAGUGAAGCGGGAGCUGUCGGAGAGGAUUGCGCAUAUAAAUGUAAGUAUAAACUUGAAAACUGUCAGUUUAAGGACUUUUUGUGAUACAUGAACGUUAUUUUAGUUAGAAAUGUUACAGUAAAAGUGCUUGUAUUGCGGUCUCGGCUCGUAUGUUCGGCCGCGCUCGGUGUCGUACUUCUCCCACUACGUUUCCCCCUGAUUUUAAUAGAAGUUUGUAUUUUAGGACCAAAAGAGAAAACCAGGGAAUUUAUUAAGCUUAGGGCGGAGAUGGACCACAUGAUCACCGGAGCAAAGUAUUCGGCGGCUGUGGCAUGGAGACUAUUCUGGAGAAAAUGGGCAUCCAGGGGAAGGUGCCAGCGAUGAGCUUCUGGAGCUGAUCUGGGAGGACAUGAGGCUGCAGAGCAGCAGAGAGCACAGGAGAGAAGGAAGAACUUUGACAGCUUUUUACUUUGCUAGAAAAAAAUGGUUAAUGAAGAUUAAACAUGUACAUGUAAAAGAAAUAUCUAAAUAAAAUCAGUUCUGCAUUAAA